GAUAAACGCUGGUGGCGCACAUAAGACAUGCAAGUCGAACGAACUUAACCAUUAGUUUGCUAUUGGAGCGGUUAGUGGCGGACUGGUGAGUAACACGUAAGCAACCUGCCUAUUAGAGGGGAAUAACAAUGAGAAAUCAUUGCUAAUACCGCAUAUACCACAGAUAUCGCAUGAUAUAGGUGGGAAAGGAGCAAUCCACUAAUAGAUGAGCUUGCGUCUGAUUAGUUAGUUGGUGGGGUAACGGCCUACCAAGACGACGAUCAGUAGCCGGACUGAGAGGUUGAACGGCCACAUUGGGACUGAGAUACGGCCCAG
rnacentral:rRNA from 1 species